GUGAGUCAUCGAAUCUUUGAACGCACAUUGCGCCCGCCAGCAUUCUGGCGGGCAUGCCUGUUCGAGCGUCAUUUCAACCCUCGAGCCCGACUCUUUUGAGGACGGCUCGGCGUUGGGGGACGGCAGACUCCCCCCGGCAUCUCGCCGGGGACGCCGCCCCCGAAAUCUAGUGGCGGCCCUCCGAGGCGACCUCUGCGUAGUAACUUGUUCUCGCACCGGAAAGCUCAGAGCGGCCACGCCGUAAAACCCCAACUUUUUUCAGGUUGACCUCGAAUCAGGUAGGACUACCCGCUGAACUUAAGCAUAUCAAUAAGCGGAGGA
rnacentral:misc_RNA from 1 species